AGUGAACGCUGGCGGUAGGCCUAACACAUGCAAGUCGAACGGCAGCACAGUAAGAGCUUGCUCUUACGGGUGGCGAGUGGCGGACGUGUGAGGAAUACAUCGGAAUCUACUUUUUCGUGGGGGAUAACGUAGGGAAACUUACGCUAAUACCGCAUACGACCUACGGGUGAAAGCAGGGGAUCUUCGUACCUUGCGCGAUUGAAUGAGCCCAUGUCGGAUUAUCUAGUUGGCGGGGUAAAGGCCCACCAAGGCUACGAUCCGUAGCUGGUCUGAGAGGAUGAGCGGCCUCAUUGGAAGCGAGACACGGUCCAGACCCCUACGGGAGGCAGAAGAGGGGAAUAUUGGACAAGGGGAGAAAGCCUGAUCCAGCCAUACCACGUGGGUGAAGAAGGUGUUCGGGUUGUAGAGCUCUUCUGUUGGGAAAGAAAAGCAGCAGGUUAAUACCCCGCUGUUCUGACGGUACCCAAAGAAUAAGCACCGGCUAACUUCGUG
rnacentral:rRNA from 1 species